AAUAUUUCGUUUAUAACCAAUUUGCCGUAUAGAAAAAAAGUAUUUUACGUUGAAAAACCCUACGCAUAAUCAUUCAAUGUCCGCCGCAAGAUCCGCCGCCGCGUCAAAGUUCUCCCGGACGGCAUCAUCUCGGUCUGCGUUUCGGAUGCCUAAACAGAGCCCUCUUUCAAACCACAUUUUCAGAUCACCGGUAGAACUGAGCUGUUGCGUGGAGACGAUGCUCCCUUACCACACUGCCACUGCUUCCGCCUUGCUCAACUCCAUGCUCUCCGCUUCACGCCGUGGUUGGAUCGUUGACCGUACACACACAUACACACACACACUCUGUUCUUAUCGCGAUUCUCUAUACAUGGUCUAGACGAGACUAGAUGAAGAUGAAUCAACAAAACUUACUUUCUCUCAACCUCUCAGACUAGUACACUUGUCAUUAGCAAAACACAAACUGUAUUCACUCAGAUUGCAAUGAUGAUGUAUGAUGAAUUACUGGGGAGAGUUCAGCGAUGCAUUUCAGUCUAAGAUAAGCUGAUGGAUGAUUCUCAUUCUCACCAUUGCAGUAAACAGGAAGAUUUGUGAUUCCUAAACCAUAAGAGGUUUUUAAUGCAAAUGUUUUUUUUGGUUA